CUUACUGAGGCCUCUCGCUGUAAAGAGAAGCACCAGGAGCAGAACCUUUGGCGUCAAGCGCAGUGGCUGGUAGCAGAUGACAGCCUGGGGAAGACGGCAGACGUUCCCCUGAAAGAGCCAGCUGUUCAAGGGUCAAGGUCGUUUUUACCUGAUUGGCUGGCGAUGUACAGCAGUAUAAUCAGGUUUUUAUGAAACUGAGGUUAUCCAGAUGCUGAACUGAAAAAUGUCCCCAAAAACCUUUAGAUGACACGUGCAGUGGCUCCCCAUCAGACGUUAUCCUGGACUCUGGAGGAGGAGACCUGUCAGAGGCAACUUCUGAAAGGCUUCAAGAGCAGCUGCCCUGAAAUGUCAUGUUGAUUUUCCUGAUCCAUGCAGGAAGGGAGAGAAAAAUGAAAAUAUUGAGGGGACAGUCCAAGGUGCAGGCCGUCCUCUGCUAGACGAUCCCUAGGAGGCCCCCACUGGGGAAGGUCAGGGAAUUGCACGGGAACGUCGAGUGCUAACAGGCAAGCUAUCUGCACCCCGUCAAUU